rnacentral:tRNA from 1 species
GCGCCAGUAGCUCAGUAGGAUAGAGCAAUGGACUUCUAAUCCAUAGGUCAGGGGUUCGAAUCCCUUCUGGCGUGCCA